UACGGAGGGUGCAAGCGUUAGUCGGAAUUACUGGGCGUAAAGGGUGCGUAGGCGGGAAUGUAAGUCAGACGUGACAUUCCGAAGCUCAACUUCGGAGCGGCAUCUGAAACUACAUUUCUAGAGGAAAAGCGGAGAAAACGGAGUUCCACGUGUAGCGGUGAAAUGCGUAGAUAUGUGGAAGAACACCUGUGGCGAAAGCGGUUUUAUAGCUUACUCCUGACGCUGAGGCACGAAAGCAAGGGGAGCAAACAGG
rnacentral:rRNA from 1 species